GGGACUACCAGGGUUUCUAAUCCUGUUUGCUCCCCUAGCUUUUGCUCCUCAGCGUCGAUAGCGGCCCAGUGAGCUGCCUUCGCAAUUGGUGUUCCUCCGAAUAUCUACGCAUUUCACCGCUACACUCGGAAUUCCACUCACCUCUACCGUAUCCUAGUCACAACAGUAUCGAUCGACAUUUCAGGGUUGAGCCCUGAACUUUCACGACCGACUUGUUGAACCGCCUACGAGCUCUUUACGCCCAAUAAAUCCGGACAACGCUCGCCCCCUACGUAUUACCGCGGCUGCUGGCACGUAGUUGGCCGGGGCUUCUUGUGGAGGUACCGUCAUUUUCUUCCCUCCUGAAAGUGGUUUACAAACCUAGAUCCGUCAUCCUACACGCGGUGUCGCUGCGUCAAGC
rnacentral:misc_RNA from 1 species